rnacentral:rRNA from 1 species
UACGGGGGGGGCAAGCGUUGUUCGGAAUUACUGGGCGUAAAGGGCUCGUAGGUGGCCAACUAAGUCAGACGUGAAAUCCCUCAGCUUAACUGGGGAACUGCGUCUGAUACUGGAUGGCUUGAGUUUGGGAGAGGGAUGCGGAAUUCCAGGUGUAGCGGUGAAAUGCGUAGAUAUCUGGAGGAACACCGGUGGCGAAGGCGGCAUCCUGGACCAACACUGACACUGAUGAGCGAAAGCCAGGGGAGCAAACGGA